rnacentral:rRNA from 1 species
GACGUAGGGCGCGAGCGUUGUCCGGAUUUAUUGGGCGUAAAGAGCUCGUAGGCGGCUUGUCGCGUCGUCCGUGAAAACCCACAGCUCAACUGUGGGCUUGCGGUCGAUACGGGCAGACUAGAGGUAGGUAGGGGAGAAUGGAAUUCCCGGUGUAGCGGUGAAAUGCGCAGAUAUCGGGAGGAACACCGGUGGCGAAGGCGGUUCUCUGGGCCUUACCUGACGCUGAGGAGCGAAAGCGUGGGGAGCGAACAGG